rnacentral:lncRNA from 1 species
GGCAUCUCACGCGCGUGAGACGUGAGGAAGAAGGAAGAAACAAUGACGAAACACACGAGCAGAGGGACGACAAACCAAAACAAAGCACAAUUAUAAUUUACAAGCACAAGUUGGUCAGGGAGAGGAAAGUGGAGUGAUUUUUUGGAAGUUUGAGGAUUAGGAGUUUGAUUUAGAAUCGAGGAUUCGGGAGAGGAGUUUGUGGGCCGGGUGAACAACAAGUAGACGGACACAAAUUCGAACCACACGCGGAUAAAUCCGGGUGGUGAUUCACGGAGGGAGGACAAGACGGUUUAGGACGACACAGGACAGAACCGCUGUUUGUGUACAACUACAGCACAAACGUAGAACACAAAUCCGGAUCGGGUUGGACGGAAAACAGGAAACAAACAAAUUCUUUGAUCUGCCGUGCAAUAAAUUGGGCUGAUACCAAGAAGUUGUUUCCGUUGGCGUCCCGAACAUCAUCAAAGAAUUUGUU